rnacentral:rRNA from 1 species
GGCGUGCCUAACACAUGCAAGUCGAACGGAAGCAAAGAUUUCGGUUUUUGCUUUAGUGGCGAACGGGUGAGUAACGCGUGAGGAACCUGCCUUUCAGUGGGGGACAACAGUUGGAAACGACUGCUAAUACCGCAUAAGCCCACAGAGCCGCAUGGCUCAGGGGGAAAAGGAGCAAUUCGCUUCAGGAUGGAUUCGCGUCCAAUUAGCUGGAUGGUGAGGUAACGGCCCACCAUGGCAACGAUUGGUAGCCGGACUGAGAGGUUGAUCGGCCACAUUGGGACUGAGACACGGCCCAGACUCCUACGGGAGGCAGCAGUGGGGAAUAUUGCACAAUGGGGGAAACCCUGAUGCAGCGACGCCGCGUGAGUGAGGAAGGUCUUCGGAUCGUAAAGCUCUGUUGUAAGAGAAAAACGGCACUCAUAGGGAAUGAUGAGUGAGUGAUGGUAUCUUACCAGAAAGUCACGGCUAACUACGUGCCAGCAGCCGCGGUAAUACGUAGGUGGCGAGCGUUAUCCGGAAUGAUUGGGCGUAAAGGGUGCGUAGGUGGCAGAUCAAGUCUGGAGUAAAAGGUAUGGGCUCAACCCGUACUGGCUCUGGAAACUGAUCAGCUAGAGAACAGAAGAGGACGGCGGAACUCCAUGUGUAGCGGUAAAAUGCGUAGAUAUAUGGAAGAACACCGGUGGCGAAGGCGGCCGUCUGGUCUGGAUACUGACACUGAAGCACGAAAGCGUGGGGAGCAAAUAGGAUUAGAUACCCUAGUAGUCCACGCCGUAAACGAUGAGAACUAGGUGUUGGGGGAAUAACUCAGUGCCGCAGUUAACGCAGUAAGUUCUCCGCCUGGGGAGUAUGCACGCAAGUGUGAAACUCAAAGGAAUUGACGGGGGCCCGCACAAGUGGUGGAGCAUGUGGUUUAAUUCGACGCUACGCGAAGAACCUUACCUGGGUUUGACAUUCACAGGAAGAACGCAGAGAUGUGUUCGCCUUCGGGCUUGUGAACAGGUGCUGCAUGGCUGUCGUCAGCUCGUGCCGUGAGGUGUUGGGUUAAGUCCCGCAACGAGCGCAACCCCUAUUUUCAGUUACCAUCGGGUAAUGCCGGGGACUCUGGAGAGACUGCCGUUAUAAAACGGAGGAAGGCGGGGAUGACGUCAAGUCAGCAUGGCCCUUACGUCCAGGGCUACACACGUGCUACAAUGGUCGGUACAAAGGGAUGCGAAGUCGCGAGGCGGAGCCAAUCUCAAAAAGCCGAUCCCAGUCCGGACUGCAGGCUGCAAUUCGCCUGCACGAAGUCGGAAUCACUAGUAACCGAAGGUCAGCUACACUGCGGUGAAUACGUUCCCGGGC